ensembl:snRNA U6 U6 spliceosomal RNA
UCGCUACGGCAGCACAUAUACUAAAAUUGGAUCGAUACAGAGAAGAUUAGCAUGGCCCCUGCGAAAGGAUGACACGCAAAUCCGUGAAGCGCAGUCAUUUUUA